rnacentral:rRNA from 1 species
AGUGAACGCUGGCGGUAGGCCUAACACAUGCAAGUCGAACGGCAGCACAGUAAGAUCUUGCUCUUACGGGUUGCGAGUGGCGGACGUGUGAGGAAUACAUCGGAAUCUACUUUUUCGUGGGGGAUAACGUAGGGAAACUUACGCUAAUACCGCAUACGACCUACGGGUGAAAGCAGGGGAUCUUCGGACCUUUCGCGAUUGAAUGAGCCGAUGUCGGAUUAGCUAGUUGGCGGGGUAAAGGCCCACCAAGGCGACGAUCCGUAGCUGGUCUGAGAGGAUGAUCAGCCACACUGGAACUGAGACACGGUCCAGACUCCUACGGGAGGCAGCAGUGGGGAAUAUUGGACAAUGGGCGCAAGCCUGAUCCAGCCAUACCGCGUGGGUGAAGAAGGCGUUCGGGUUGUAAAGCCCUUUUGUUGGGAAAGAAAAGCAGCAGGUUAAUACCACGCUGUUCUGACGGUACCCAAAGAAUAAGCACCGGCUAACUUCGUG